CAGCCGCUGGCUCCAGAUACUCUGAACCUCACGGUUGAGCUGCAGGGUCCCGGUCACAGCGGUGCCUCCCUUAGACAGACAACGUUUGAGGUCUCCGCUGCUGAUCAGCUCGGCUCCACCGUGACCCUGCCUGUGGAGAGGGAGCAGCUGGCUGAGCAGUCCCAGGCGGGUGACCCGGAGCGGAGCAGGUCUGCGUAUAGAACCCAGGAGCUGGAAAUCGUCUCCAAUGAAAGCGCCGUUUCCCUAGGCUCCAGCUCCUUUGCGACCUCCACCCCGCUGAUGGGGCCAGCCAAGUUCCACUUUGUGACAGGCAGUCCCCUGGGAGAUGACUUGGACCAGAGGGACCCAAACGCCUCCAGGCGUUCAGUGCCGAGAGAGCUCCCCUGCCCCAGCCAGGCUGGCUCCAAGUCUGCGGCCCCCGAGGUAGCCCAGAGCGCCGUGCCCCCGUGCGGGAACCUACCCGAAGGAGAGUCCCGUGACAGGGUCACUCUCAAGCCACCUCCGAAGAGUGCUGCCUUGCCUGGCUCUUCCAGAAGCUACGCCAGUACUGAAGGCCAAGCUGCUAUCAAAUCACAGCCCCUGGCCUUUACCACCCCAAGAGCAAGUCGGAGUCUGGCCCUCGCUUCCUUUGAGUCUCGGAAAGCUUCUCGGGAGCUGCUGAGAGCAGGCCUGCCUCCAAGGAGCAGAGGCAUCGCCUCGGAGGGGAAAGCAACAAGACUGUCUCUGGGUAACUGCCGACCCAGCAUGCAGAAAGCAGCUGCCACUGGAAAAACCAGCCAGGGCUCCAACGUGGAGAUCCAGCCUGCUGCCCAACUCCCUGCCAGCGGCACUGUGAAGCGGAGUGCUACAAAGCUACCUUGCAGUGAGAAGUGCCUCUCAUCCCUCCAGCCUCCUACCAAAGGCCCAGGACUUAGCAGCAGCAGCAGACCCUUGCUCAUGGGAUCCCGGGUUUCUGUGGGUCCAGGGAUCCUCUGCAUGAGCAAAGGGGCUGGAGCUCCUGGAACCAAACUCCCAACUCACCCAGGUGCCAGGCUAAGACUAAUGAAGCCCAGACCCAGCAGCAUGCAGCACAUCAAUGGGACCCUGCAGCCAACAUGCACUCUUCCCACUGGGCAUCAAGGAGCCAGAUCCAGCCCCCAGGACAAAGAGACAGAAACAGGUGUUGCCAAACCUGGCUGCAACAAACUGCCUGUUCGAAGGGCUGCCACCACCGCGAUUCCUGCCAGGGCUCCCCACUCCCGACUGAGACCAACAGGGAGGACAACAGCCUCCCCCAGAAGGCUCCCUUCCCCCAAGCGAGCUCGCCUAGCUAAAGACACUAACUCAGCAGCAGUUGCACAAGCCCUGGAGCCCAGUGGAGGCGAAGGAGACACUGAGGACAGACCAGUGCUGGCUGUGGGGGCGGACUGCACCAGUGCAGGUGGAAUGGCCCAGCCUCAGAGAGGUGGGAAUUCCCCAGCUCCUCUCACUUUCCUCCCUGACUCUGCCCUGGAGAGUGGAGGUGCAGCAUCCUCCAUGCAGCUUCCAGAUCAGCUGCUCUCCCAGGAGCUGCAGAGAGUAAGGAGUGAGCUGCAGAGAGUGAAGAAUGAGCUUGCUGCAAGAGAUGCCCAAUGUGAAGCCUAUCGAAGGACGAUCUCCUCCCUGGAGGCCCAGCUGAGGGCAGGCUCCCUCCCGGAGGGCUGGGACACAAAAGACUGUGCCUUGGAAGGCGAGUGACAGCGAAGCAUGGAGGGCCUGUAUCUGCCUGUUAAAAUAGCUUCUCUAGCUGGCUCCUCGGAGGGGUGUACUGCUCUGUACAGUCUGAAGGAAAACCCUGCAGCCCCGCCCCUGGAG
rnacentral:lncRNA from 1 species